GUGAAACGCCUCAGCGCCGAUGGUACUGCGUCUUAAGACGUGGGAGAGUAGGUCGCCGCCAGGU
rnacentral:rRNA from 1 species